GCCAUUGGCCCCCAUGAGGUCUCUUUAUGACUUGUCACGCCAUCCACUAAAAAAUAAGAGUAAUCAUGAGUGAGACAAGCCCCCCAUACUCUCAGCUUCUAAUUGUCAACUCAUGCCAUUAAUAGGUGGAGCCCCUACAUGCCAUGAGGUGACAUUACUAGGCACAAUUCUCGAAGACAUUCAAUGAGACGCAAAAGAUCUCUGACAUCCUCAUGCUCUCCCAUGGCUCCACCUCCCUUAUGAAAAGAAAUAAACAGGAGAUCCAAAGGUACGCCCCCUUUCUCUCUCAUAAAUGCUCGCUCUUCUCCUCAUAUUGUGGAAAAAUCUGACUGGAGUGUUGGAGGGUCCCGGCCUGCCGGAGCUAACUCUGGCGUGGGUUAUUCUUGCAUUCCCGACCGCCGUCGACCCAUCGGGCAUCGCCCCGCUCC
rnacentral:lncRNA from 1 species